rnacentral:misc_RNA from 1 species
GAUGAAGAACCCAGCGAAAUGCGAUAAGUAAUGUGAAUUGCAGAAUUCAGUGAAUCAUCGAGUCUUUGAACGCACAUUGCGCCCCCUGGUAUUCCGGGGGGCAUGCCUGUCCGAGCGUCAUUGCUGCCCUCAAGCACGGCUUGUGUGUUGGGCCCCCGCCCCCCGGCUUCGGGGGGCGGGCCCGAAAGGCAGCGGCGGCACCGCGUCCGGUCCUCGAGCGUAUGGGGCUUCGUCACCCGCUCUGUAGGCCCGGCCGGCGCCCGCCGGCGACCCCAAUCAAUCUUUCCAGGUUGACCUCGGAUCAGGUAGGGAUACCCGCUGAACUUAAGCAUAUCAAUAAGCGGAGGA